rnacentral:rRNA from 1 species
UACGUAGGGUGCGAGUGUUAAUCGGAAUUACUGGGCGUAAAGCGUGCGCAGGCGGUCUGUUAAGACCGAUGUGAAAUCCCCGGGCUUAACCUGGGAAUUGCAUUUGUGACUGCACGGCUAGAGUGUGUCAGAGGGGGGUAGAAUUCCACGUGUAGCAGUGAAAUGCGUAGAUAUGUGGAGGAAUACCGAUGGCGAAGGCAGCCCCCUGGGAUAACACUGACGCUCAUGCACGAAAGCGUGGGGAGCAAACAGG